AUGGAGGUGCCAGCCUGGCCCAGGGAGGGAAGUGCCACCCAUAUCAGGCCAGACAACUCGGGCUCAACCGGCUUGGGAGGGCUGGAAAACCAGCCCUGUGUCCAUCCCUCCGGCUCAGUCCCGCUGUGGGACUGGACGGGGCCGGCAGGAGGAAGGAGGACGCGCCCGGGCAUGGCUGCAGAGCUUUUGGGUUCCUGCCGAAUUGACGCCCUCCCCUCUCCCCCCUCAUCCUUCCCGCCUGGCCUGCGUCUCCCCUCCCUUCCCUUCUCCCUCCCAUCCCGCAGCAAACAAAAUGGCUGCUCCAUGGCCAUUUUGUUUCCCGUCUGGAAGGGGGAACCGGGACGCUGGGACUUGGCUCUUUUUUGGAGGCUGCGGCCAUGUCCGAGCCCAACUCUCCCGUCUCUACGUGGCACCGGCUGUAGCAAGAGAGAGAAAGGGAAAAAAAAAGAGAGAAAAAAAAAAAAAAAAGGAUAUUUUGGAAUGAAACCAAAGGCAGAGGCAGAGAGUGGGUAGUUUUGGCGUAUGUUGAGCACUGAAAAUGCCUGGAAUUGCCAAACUGAGCUUUUGUAUGAGCAGCGUAAGGGCUACUCGGUGCACGCAGAGCCGCGGGGCUGCACGGAAUAGCCGGACGGAAAGGUUUGUUCGCUAUAUUCAAUAAAACAGCCCUCCUUUCUUCUGGAUUUAUAAAGUACCAGAGAGCACUGUUGUCUUAAUUUGUUUUUGGACGGGCGGAUGGUUUUACACAUCGGCUUGGUAUGACCAGAGCCGGUCAUUGCCGGACGGUAGCAUUUUAACCUGUUGUGUGUCCUCUUGUUUUUGGUGCAUAUGGGAUCUGACCUUUCCACCGAGCUGGCACUGCCUGGAUUUAGCUGAUGUAAUCCGGAGGAUAUUUUUUUAGGGAUUUUUUUGUUUAUUGCCUUCUUGCCUUGAAAGUUUUCAUCUCAGGAAUAAAAACAUCUUAAUUUAAAUAUUUAAAGCAAUAGCUGUUCUUGGCUUUUUAAGCCCUUGCUUUUCUCCCAAGGCUGGAGCUGCACUGUGCUCACAAGCUGUUUACUGCACUCUGUGUGUAUCCUGCACACGUAAAGGUGUGAUACACAACAGAAACACCAUCCACAGGAACACGCCUUGAAAGUUUAAAGCAACUUGGUGGCGUUACCGUAAAAUUUUGUGCAGAAGCAGGGCAAAAACACCACAAUAUGCGCCAGAUAAAAGUGAUUUUUUUUUUUUUAAGUGAUUCUGCAUUUCCUUCAGUAGCCUGGAUGUCUUGGCGUUAGUAGCCACGUCACUUUGUUUGUGGACACUCUGAGGAGCAGAUCCCUGCCCUGUGGCGCGGGGGGGAUCAGGCUCUGAUAAGGUGCUGGAAUGAUCAUCCUGCUGUUCCUUGAGUGGCUUUCCAGACAUGUGGAGAGAAGCAGACACUUCCAGAGCGGAGCUGGGAAGGAGAGCAGAAAGAGGUGAAAUGGCUUUCCUUGCACAGAAAGGACCUGCAGAGCAGCCAAUGCCUGGAUAAGGAUCGUCUCAGUGCCUGGAUAAGGAUCAUCUCAAUGCCUGGAUAAGGAUCACCUCAAUGCCUGGAUAAGGAUCAUCCCAGUGCCUUAGACUGCCAUGGUCCCAAGCUGUCCUUGAGGCUGAGGUAGUAGAUUGAAUAGUUGUGGAGUCUGGUCCUCCCUCUGAGCUAACUAUACAAUCUACUGUCUUUCCUAAGGAGACAGUCAGGUCUUCAGGUCUGCACAUCCACUUCUACACCAGGUGUGGGGCAGGUGGUGCAAGUAAAGCAAAUCCGUGCCUGUGACCCGUCUGUUCUGCUCUGUGGAGGUGAGGUAGUAGGUUGUAUAGUUUGGUGGGAGGGAUUUGAUCCCAUUUCAGGUGAUAACUAUACAGUCUAUUGCCUUCCUUAAAGAGCAGCAAAACCACCGGAGGAGGAGCUCCCGAGGCAUCAUCGCUUCUUUUGUUGAGGAUCCAAAAACGCAGCGUGGCAUUGUUAAACAACUCAGUGGGUGUUUCUCUUACAGCAUCCAGAAUUGCAUUCUUCCAGGAAUUGCUUCAUGCCUCAGGCAUUGGAGCACGGAGCCACCUGCUUUCAGGGAACCCACCUCUCUUUAAGAUUCGAGGGAAAUGAGUUUGCACAGCAGCUCCCAGUGUUCAAUUCUACUCUUUUUUUUCCAGGAGAUGGGUUCAAGUUGUAAAGUGUUUAAAUGUGUGUUGAUCUUCUCUGGUCUGUCCUCAGGUCUGGAGGGGAGCAGAUACUUUUGUAUAAAUGGGACAGAUCUGAGCUCAUGCUUUAAUUUUGCUGUGCCCAGUUCUGAAGCUUGGGUCAGAACCAGACCCAGGGGACUGUGGACUCAGCCCUGGGAGCUGAUCAGAUUUGGCUGGUUGGGCCCUGCUCAGGAAGUGCAUUUUGUUUUGGACAAGUUCCCAGCCUGUCCCGUGGAGCAGAGUUAGAGGGUAGUUCUUUUUUUGAUCUGAUAAUCCCUUAUCAACUGAACUCCUUCACAUGCAAACCCUGUCAGGGAAGUUUGGGUCUCUUGGAUAUUUACAUAGGAUGAACCAACGAUUCCAACUUGUCCCAACGUGGAGACAGGUAAGGAAGAGACGUGAGCCAAAAGGAGCAGGUUCUAAUCCUUCUGGGUUCUCCCAGGCAGUCACCUGACAACAGACAUGCGAGAAGUCAUCAUGCUUCAGAGCUCUGGCCCUUGGCAAGGGACAGGCAACUGUUAAUUCUUCUGUUUCUUAGGAGCAGAUGGGACUAUCCCUCUGCCGUUUUCCAGAGUAAGUAGGAUCGAGACCACGAGAGGAGCUGUAACACGAUCAGGGCUGCAUCAGGAAGGACAUUUCAGGCCAUUAUCACGACCAUCUUUCUGCCAGGGAGACUGUGAGAUCCGAGACACCAGGGAGCGGGGGCAAGCAGAGGACACCUUCUCAGAUGAAGUGGGAGGGAGAGAGCAAAACGAAAUUGGAGGCCUCAAAUUUCACCCUGAGCAAAGGCAGAGGGGGAGGCAGACCUGGCUGCUGGGGCUGUGGGAGUCCCCAGCAUGGAGCAGCUCAUUUCAGGCCCUUCUGCUGGGACUGGGCGUAGCUGCAGCGAGGCUGGGACACAGCUGGUGGGUGGGGAUGCUGCAGUUCCAAACGGCGAAGGAAUGCAGCCCUCUCUCCAUAAAUCUGGCUUUUCAGCAGUCCUGGCGACUUGCUGUGCAAAACUACAGCUUGGUCCUCUGAGCUGCAUUAUUAUCCUCCAGCUGCUUGCUCAGGGGCAGGGCUCCUGCCCGCAGAUUGCUUGGAAGGUACUGAAAUAGCAGCACGAGCAUGGGAACAGGGCGGCAUGUCCACUUCAUCUGGAGAGGUGUCCCCUGGAAAAGAGCUAAUCCCACGUGUCUCAGAUGGAAUCUGUUCAGUCCCCCUGCGUGGCAUUGAUACUAAUGCAGAGAAUCUCAAACAGUGGAACUGUGUGAGCUGGAAGCCAUGAAUAAAAUAUUGCUGGAGAUAGUCCCUUGUGAAAAUAAAAUUGGUUUGACUUUUU